rnacentral:sRNA from 1 species
UCGGGCACAUCGCCGAAUUCUGCCGGUGCCCGAGGUUCAUUACACAGAAACUGCUUGGCAGAAGCGGGGGAACCACAUGCGGUCCCGAUGAUUCGGGUCCUAGGGGUUAAGUCGCCAGAGCAUCCCGCCCUGCGACCGGGUGUCUCCCACCCGCAUCCGACAGCUCACCUCGUAGGCAAAGGGAGGAGUACAU